rnacentral:lncRNA from 1 species
CACCCUCGGUUCCAUUUAGCUGGAUUUUUGGCAGAGAAAUUUAAAUAUCAACACUUCAGCCAUCUGCAUUUGUUAUGUAUGUUUGAGCUGAUAAGCAUAAUUCAUCAUCCUCAUAAUUUCACUACUUGUUUCUAUCAAUAAGGAUGUUAAAUAUGCAUUUAAAAGAAAUAAAGGAAAAAGAGAACUUCAGGCUCUGGAAUUUCUAGUUUCAUCAAUCUUCUAGCCACAAGGAAAUUACUACCAGUCAAUACCAGAUGAGAUAUUUA